UCGAGGAUCAUUCGCAAUGAGCGAAAGCUUGACGAUGCGACGCUGUGUGAACGAUGAAGGCCUUCGGGUUGUAAAGUUCUUUCGCCUGUGAACAAGAGGAUUUAGAUAAUACCUAAAGAAUUUGAGGGUAGCAGGUAAAGAAGCACCGGCUAACUCCGUGCCAGCAGCUGCGGUAAUACGGAGGGUGCAAGCAUUAAUCGGAAUUAUUGGGCGUAAAGGGCGCGUAGGCGGUUUGCUAAGUCAGAUGUGAAAUACCAGAGCUCAACUCUGGUGCUGCAUUUGAAACUGGUGAGCUUGAGGGUUGGCGGAGAAAACGGAAUUCCACAAGUAGCGGUGAAAUGCGUAGAUAUGUGGAAGAACACCUGUGGCGAAAGCGGUUUUCUAGCUAAUGCCUGACGCU
rnacentral:rRNA from 1 species